UACGGGGGGGGCAAGCGUUGUUCGGAAUUACUGGGCGUAAAGGGCGUGUAGGCGGCCAACUAAGUCCGACGUGAAAUCCCCAGGCUCAACCUGGGAACUGCGUCUGAUACUGGAUGGCUUGAAUCCGGGAGAGGGAUGCAGAAUUCCAGGUGUAGCGGUGAAAUGCGUAGAUAUCUGGAGGAACACCGGUGGCGAAGGCGGCAUCCUGGACCGGCAUUGACGCUGAGGCGCGAAAGCUAGGGGAGCAAACGGG
rnacentral:rRNA from 1 species